GAUGAACGCUGGCGGUCUGCUUAACACAUGCAAGUCGAACGGGCUCUUCGGAGCUAGUGGCGGACGGGUGAGUAACGCGUGAGGAUCUGCCCUUAGGACGGGGACAACAGCUGGAAACGGCUGCUAAUACCCGAUGUGCCGAGAGGUGAAACUAUUUGGCCUGAGGAUGAGCUCGCGCCUGAUUAGCUAGUUGGAGUGGUAACGGCACACCAAGGCGACGAUCAGUAGCUGGUCUGAGAGGAUGAUCAGCCACACUGGGACUGAGACACGGCCCAGACUCCUACGGGAGGCAGCAGUGGGGAAUUUUCCGCAAUGGGCGAAAGCCUGACGGAGCAAGACCGCGUGCGGGAGGAAGGUCUAUUGAUUGUAAACCGCUUUUGAUAGGGAAGAAGAUCUGACGGUACCUAUCGAAUCAGCAUCGGCUAACUCCGUGCCAGCAGCCGCGGUAAUACGGGGGAUGCAAGCGUUAUCCGGAAUUAUUGGGCGUAAAGCGUCCGUAGGUGGUUUUAAAAGUCUGUUGUCAAAUCGCGAGGCUUAACCUCGUACAGGCAGUGGAAACUAUAAGACUAGAGUGCGGUAGGGGUAGAGGGAAUUUCCAGUGUAGCGGUGAAAUGCGUAGAUAUUGGAAAGAACACCGGUGGCGAAGGCGCUCUACUGGGCCUGCACUGACACUGAGGGACGAAAGCUAGGGGAGCGAAAGGGAUUAGAUACCCCUGUAGUCCUAGCCGUAAACGAUGGAAACUAGGUGUUGCCCG
rnacentral:rRNA from 1 species